rnacentral:rRNA from 1 species
GACGAACGCUGGCGGCGUGCUUAACACAUGCAAGUCAAGGGGGCUCGCAAGAGCAACCGGCGAACGGGUGCGUAACACGUGAGCAACCUGCCUUAGUGUGGGGGAUAGCCGGCCCAACGGCCGGGUAAUACCGCAUACGCUCACCGGGUGGCAUCACCUGGUGAAGAAACUUUCGAGGCACUAAGAGGGGCUCGCGGCCUAUCAGCUUGGUUGGUGGGGGUAAUGGCCUA